rnacentral:misc_RNA from 1 species
AAAAUAAUGUUAGACUGCGUAGCAGCAGUAUACAAUCGCCGUUGAUUACACUACGGCGGUGGCUUCACAUGGAAGAUGCGCUCAAUCUCUCUUCCGUAUCUCUCUAGUGUGUGCUGUCCUUGUUGCUUAUCGUGCUCCACUUGCGUCGCCUCCUGAUUCGGUUGCAGGAAAUUUCAUCAGUUUUAGAAAGAUCAACAGCUCCAAACUGGAGAUUGACGGUAAAGUUAUGUCGAAAGCUAGAGUUUACACCGAUGUCAAUGUGCUUCGCCCCAGAGAAUAUUGGGAUUAUGAAGCCCUUACUGUACAAUGGGGUGAUCAGGAUGACUAUGAGGUUGUUCGGAAGGUUGGAAGAGGAAAAUAUAGUGAGGUUUUUGAAGGUAUAAAUGUUAACAGCAACGAGAAGUGCAUAAUCAAGAUUCUGAAACCUGUUAAGAAGAAAAAGAUCAAGAGAGAGAUCAAAAUCUUGCAGAACCUCUGUGGCGGACCAAAUGUUGUCAAACUCCUUGAUAUUGUCAGAGACCAGCACUCAAAAACACCAAGCUUAAUUUUUGAGUAUGUGAACAGUACAGAUUUCAAAGUACUGUACCCAACAUUAACGGAUUAUGACAUACGCUACUACAUAUAUGAGCUUCUCAAGGCAUUGGACUACUGCCAUUCACAAGGAAUAAUGCAUAGAGAUGUCAAGCCUCACAAUGUC